UGGUCGAACCCAUCCCUGUCCGGCGUUUUGUCCUAACAAGCUGGCACUGUGUUUCCUGCCUCACUGACUACGUCACCCUGAUCAAGUCACUGAACCUCGCUGAUGACUCGCAUCUUCUUAUGUACAAUACAAAGGAACAGCAUCUGUGUCACAGGGUUUGGCAAAAACCUUCUAACAUCGGGCGGCGGCGCGCAGCAGGCAUUCUCAGUCACACACCUAAGGGGAAGGGGUGUCCUGGACUUCAGAACUUUGGUGUCAACACUACUUAGGAACUAAGAACAGAAAGAAGACUGGGAUUACCACAGGUGAUAUGACAAGGCCCAGGAGUUCCUGGAGCUCUGUGGCGGAUGAGCAGGCAAGUCCAGGCUUCCUGGCAAAUUCCAGUGUGGAAGUAAGUGUGGAGCCAUCAAGGCUCUCUCAUCAUUGGGGCCUUGUGACCUCAAAGAGGCUGAGUCAUUAGCUGGGGACAGUUCUGUCCUCCCCAGCCUAUGUCUGAGGAUUCCCCACCUGUUGUCCCUGGGGUCCCUGCCUUGGCGGGUUAUAAGGCCGGAACCAGGAGUGCAGAUAGCUACUCUCUGGGCAUUAUCUCUCUUCUACAGCCUCCACACCCAACCUCUUACUAUGGACUAAAUGUCUUU